rfam:Stegodyphus mimosarum contig52896, whole genome shotgun sequence.
GCCUUCGUGGUGUAGUGGUCAGCACGCUCCGCUCGUACUCGAGAGGUCCGUGGUUCGAGUCCCGACGAGGGCA